CCCGGGGCGGUGCGCGGGGGGCUGUCGCUGCUGCGGUCGGCGUGCGGGGUGCUGCUGCGGUCGGCGUUCAGGUCCUCGUUCCGGGA
rnacentral:tRNA from 1 species